rnacentral:rRNA from 1 species
UGAAGCUGGAAUCGCUAGUAAUCGCGGAUCAGAAUGCCGCGGUGAAUACGUUCCCGGGUCUUGUACACACCGCCCGUCACACCAUGGGAGUCGGUAACGCCCGAAGUCAGUGACCCAACCGUAAGGAGGGAGCUGCCGAAGGCGGGACUGGUAACUGGGGCGAAGUCGUAACAAGGUAAC